rnacentral:rRNA from 1 species
GACGAACGCUGGCGGCGUGCUUAACACAUGCAAGUCGAACGGAAAGGCCUCUUUCGGGGGGUACUCGAGUGGCGAACGGGUGAGUAACACGUGAGUAACCUGCCCUUGACUUUGGGAUAACUUCAGGAAACUGGGGCUAAUACCGGAUAGGAGCUCCUGCUGCAUGGUGGGGGUUGGAAAGUUUCGGCGGUUGGGGAUGGACUCGCGGCUUAUCAGCUUGUUGGUGGGGUAGUGGCUUACCAAGGCUUUGACGGGUAGCCGGCCUGAGAGGGUGACCGGCCACAUUGGGACUGAGAUACGGCCCAGACUCCUACGGGAGGCAGCAGUGGGGAAUAUUGCACAAUGAGUGGAAGCCUGAUGCAGCAACGCCGUGUGCGGGAUGACGGCCUUCGGGUUGUAAACCGCUUUCGCUCAUGACGAAGCUUUGUGUGACGGUAGUGGGUAAAGAAGCACCGGCUAACUACGUG